UUACUCAAAAGGGGAAGUGCUUGUAUCUGCUGGCAAGACCUUCUGAGAGCAUUCCUUUGAUGAGCAGAACUGGCGAUGUGGGAUGAACCAGAAGCCAGGUUACGGUGCCGAACUGCGCGUUAACCCAGAACAAAGGGUGUUGGCCGAUUAAGACAGUAGGACGGUGGUCAUGGAAGUCGAAAUCCGCUAAGGAGUGUGUAACAACUCACCUUCCGAAUCAACUAGCCCAAAAAAUGGAUGGCGCUGAAGCGCGAGACCCACACCCGGCCGUCAGCACUAUUGCCAAGCCUCGAUGAGUAGGAGGGUGCGAUGGUUGCUGUGAAACCUGGGGCACGAGCCCGAGCGAAGCGGCCAUUAGUG
rnacentral:ncRNA from 1 species